UCUUUGAUGGUCUAACGGUUAUGAUUUCCGCUUGUCAUUGUGAACGCGGGAGACCGGGGUUCGACUCCCCGUCAGAGAG
rnacentral:tRNA from 1 species